GGACAGACAGACAGUGCAGUCACCCAUAAAGUAGAAAGCACUACUAACAGCAAUGGAGGGUGUAGUGUUUCCUACUUUAUGGAUGAGUGUACUGUGGGCUUCGGAG
rnacentral:pre_miRNA from 11 species